UACGUAGGCAGCAAGCGUUGUUCGGAGUUACUGGGCGUAAAGGGCGCGUAGGCGGCCCGGUAAGUCAAAGGUGAAAUCCCUCGGCUCAACUGAGGAACUGCCUUUGAAACUGUCGGGCUUGAGGCCGGGAGGGGGUAGCGGAAUUCCCAGUGUAGCGGUGAAAUGCGUAGAUAUUGGGAGGAACACCGGUGGCGAAGGCGGCUACCUGGACCGGUUCUGACGCUGAUGCGCGAAAGCGUGGGUAGCAAACAGG
rnacentral:rRNA from 1 species